GCCGGAGUAGAAUUGUGGGAGGCUGGCGCCACUGCAGGCGGAGUAAGCCUCUGCUGCGCUCCACCCUGAGCUCCUAGGACCAGGGCGCAGGGAGAGCAAUUUGGUACUUUCUGGAUCCUCCAAGAAGCGGCCAGAGGAAGUGACAGUCUACAAAUGGACUACUUCUUGGAAACAGGGUUCCACUACGUUGACCAGGCUAGCCCCGAACCCUUCAGUUCAAGUGAUGCUGAUUCAAGCUCCCAGGUACUGAGGACUACCGGGCACGUGCUGCCAUGCCUGGCUCCACAAUGUAUUUAAUCCUAAAGGAGGUUAGAAAGAAGAAAACAUGGAGAAAAGCGGCCACUCAGUGAGAAGGAAGGAAAUGCAGCACAAGCAACAAGUGUCCUUCAGGGACAAAAAGGACAUGUCACUCAGGUGCCAGAGGUGGGUACAGCAAGGCUCUUGCUCACCUCAUGUGGUCAUACUUCUUAAAAAGUGCGUUGUACUCUACUGCCCUCUGCUGGAGCUCUACGUCGAUGCUGCUCCCAUAGAUGGAAACCACUUUCUUAAUUCGGCUGUGGGACAGAUAAUAGGAUAAAUGAAAUCAAUCAUUCAAAACACAAAAUUUAUAAGGAGCAGUGAAGAUGAUCAAAACAGAGUUUCUUGGUUAAAUUUCUGAUUUCUCUAUGUUUCCUUAAUUCAAAUUGUGUUUCAAGAACAACUAUAAUUCCCUUAUCUCUAUUCACUCAUUUAUCAAUAUUGUAAUUGUAAUGAGAAACUUCUACCUAGGUAUUUAUUCCCCAUCCUCAAGCUUACUGGAGGUGUGGGAACACAGCUUACUGGUGCAGUGCUUGCCCAGCAUGUGAGGACUGACGUCCAAUCUCCUCAUUGAGACCCUUGCAAACAAAAGCACCCAUCACUUUGCCACAAAGAAAUGGAUAUUGUCCAAUUCUCUUUCUUAGUAACUUUGAAAAUGAGGUUUUAGCAUUAGCGUGCUCACUACAAUCCUUGUAGCAAUCUAAACACUAAAUAAUUACACUUCUCACAAAGCUAUCUGGCUCAUAGGUUGUGGCCACUUUGAAAAUGAAACGGAAAAGUCCAGGAAAACUGACUCAAAUCAAUUUUUGCUCAAAAUAGCACCAAUUAAAACUCAAAAGAUUUAAACACACACACACACCCCCCACAAAGACACUCACACAAAUCUGGAUUUUAUUCCUACACCAACAUCUUCGAAUAUAAUAAACCAAGGCAGGCAUAGUGCUGCACGCCUUUAAUCCAGCACUGGGAGGCAAAAGCAGACAGAUCUCUGAGUUUAAGGCCAGCCCAGUCUACAGAGAAAGUUCUAGAACUAUCAGGGCUACAUGGAGAAACCAUUUCUCAAAAAACAAACAAACAAAAAAAGCCCAAUAAACCACAAAUGUUAGAAACUAUACUAUAAAACUAUACUAUAAAAAUACUGCAAAAUAAUGCACAGUAGGGAGAGACAAUGACAAAACAAAAUACUGACACAAAAGAAAGAUGAGCAAUGAACUGAUCAUUCUGUGUGUGGUACUAAGUAAAUUAAAACUCAUUUGACUAUUGUC